ensembl:lncRNA
UAAAUCAAUGCAUUUUAUCUUUGAGAAAUGUAAUUUUUAACUAUUUCCACACCAUUAUCUAUUUGAUAUUUUUAGAUUUUGAAUGUUUUAUUUUUGAAGAUCUUUAUUUAUACCUUCAGACGUUGUAGUUCUAAGCUCGUUUUUUGCAACUGACACAGAAAUAGUAUAAAUGAAUUAACAUGUGAGAAAAUCCUCUGUAGUCAGGUAAGUUGAUUGAAAAUAUCACUAAAAAAGAUAAAUAAAAAAAAUUUAAGAUAAACCCAAAGGCAAGAAUAUAUCUUUUGAUGUAGUAACCAUAGAACUGAAAACACUGAUGCUGUGGAGUAAAUAUCCAUAUAAUUUGGCAAUUGCUUAACUAACUGUAAAGCUGACAAAAUAUUGGCAAGGUGCUUGUGUGUUCUUACAUAUUCCAAGUACCUAAUAAAUAAUUAUCUUAUUGUCUUUGAUGAAAAUGAUGGUUAAAUCAUAUGAAAUUAUAGAAUUAUUGUUAAUAAUUAAGACAUGUUUUAAUGUAGAUGCUGUGACCUUAUUCCAUUGGAUCAUAUGAUUCUCUGUUGCUUACGGUGCAGUGCUUCUCAGAAGAAGCAUCCUAGCGGUAGGCUGUUUGCUGGAUGUAUCUGUCUCUAGAGAUGUUUUCCUAAAGGCUAUGAAUCAGUUAUGUCUUAGUGUCCUGGGACCUUGGGAUGUUUAAAGUGAUUCUCAGUUACAGUAAAAUCAAGACAGCAUGGAAAAAGGGAUCUGUGGUUAAAUGAAGAUGAGACCUCCAAAUUUUUAUUGUAGCUAACCAAAAAAUGAAAUAACAGGAAUAAAAAAUUGUCUUACGUACCUGAAAGAAUGCUGAAUUUUUGAAAGUUUUCAACUCAUUAAGGUACUAUCUAGAAUGCUGUCAAGCAGGCAUUUACACACCUUGUUUGUUUCAUUCACUUUGUAGCUCUGCAACAAUUUUUGCCUCAUACCAAACUACCAAGUCCUUACUUUCUCUCAAGCAAGAUAAUAUUAAAUUAAAUUUUUUCUCUUUAAGUUGCGUUUGUGCAUGUGUGAGUGUAUGUUGUAUUCAUAAAGAAAAAAACAAGAAACAAUACUGCUUUCUUUGUUAAUUUAUAAUUGUUACAUUCUUUGUAAUAACUUAUUUUCUAGGUAAAUGUAUUCUCUGUAUACAAAAUAUUCCAAUUCUCACUAGCUGGGCUAAGAAAUAUAUUCUGCCAUUCAGUUAAGUAGUCUUCUAUGACCAUGGUGCACCUUUUAGCCUGGGAUCAUAGUCAACUCACUGCUGCAAUUACACCAACCUGAGUUCUGUUCUCAAUUUUCAGCCCAGUCUGCAGUCACUUGCAUGGAAUUCCCAAACUUCCUCUACCAACAUGCUGUCUUGGUGAACUGUGAGGUGUUAUGGAUUUGUUCAUGAAAUGUUUUGUCUAUUCCUUCUACCACGGGACUUCAAGGAGACUUGUGAUUAUCAGAAAGAUUUAUCUUCUUUACUGAUUUUUUCAGAAAAGAGAACUGAUCAUACUUCUUUUAGGAAAGAUAUUCACAAUCUGAAAGCUUCCUCCAAAACUGAAACAUGUUUCAUUUUCACAAUACGUUUUUGUUUCUUUAGUUUGCAGUUAAAAGAUGUGAGUAUCAGCUUCUGAGGUAGAAUCAUAAUAAUAUGUAAAAUAGAAAAUUUUCCUUACAAAUUCUCCUUGCUAAAGGGAGGUUGAUUUUCCUUCAUACCAGUGGUGUAGCCCCUACAGUUUAGGUAUUUUUCAAAACAGUGAAUUGAACUUCUGUUUUUUCAGUUCAUAUGAUUCUUUGCAAUGUAAUCUCUCAAAUGUUUGAAGAAUCCUGGUGAAAAGCGUUUGCUUAGUUUGUGAGGUGGGAAUAAGUCUAAUACAACUAGAUAUUUUAUACUUCUAAGUUGCUGGAUCAACUUUAUAAAGCAACAGGACUUAAAUAAACCUUUCAGAGAUUAAUGAUCUCUGCCAGCAGAUCCUUGCCAAAAAUACUUAAUUUGCAGUCCCUUUUUUGAUUUUGCCUGGUACAAGUCUUAGUCUUGUUUAUAAACAUCAAGCUGGUUAUGUUCUGAUCAUUGGCUGUUACUAUUUUACUUAUUUAUUUGUUGUUUUGUUGAUGAAGGCUAGCUGAA